CCCAUGGGUACAUGAAGGACUCAAAGUGGAAAAGGAAAACGGAAGUGCAAAGUUAAGGUUAGAGUACUGUGGUGGCGUGCCAGAGUAAAUAACGAUCGACCGACCAGUGAAAAUAGUUAGAGACACCUCUGAACAAAUAGCGAUUUAAUAUCUCGUUGUUGCCAGGGUUUGUUAAUUUACGACAAUAUGGCCAAAUGUCGAGAGAUAGACCACAGCUUGAUGGCGAUGGUGCUCAAUAGAGAGUUGAUAAAGCUUGUACAGUUCAGAGAUCUGAGAGAACUGAUGACGAUGGUGCUCAACAGAGACUUGGUAGAGUUGAGAGAGAAAGAUGACUGAGCUCAAACAGCUGAGCAUUUUUUUUUUCUCUCUGGCGAGAGGGAGAUAGCUCAAACGGCUGACCAUUUAUUUGAAACGAUGUUUUUAAGGGCAUUUUGGUCUACUCAUGCUUCUUUUUGGCUAGAAACAAAUAACUUUAUA